UACGGGGGGGGCAAGCGUUGUUCGGAAUUACUGGGCGUAAAGGGCUCGUAGGCGGCCAACUAAGUCCGACGUGAAAUCCCAAGGCUUAACCUUGGAACUGCGUCGGAUACUGGAUGGCUUGAAUUCGGGAGAGGGAUGCAGAAUUCCAGGUGUAGCGGUGAAAUGCGUAGAUAUCAGGAGGAACACCGGUGGCGAAGGCGGGUCUCUGGGCCGAUACUGACGCUGAGGAGCGAAAGCGUGGGGAGCGAACAGG
rnacentral:rRNA from 1 species